GUGAAGGUAGACAGACAGCCUCCUUCCUGCUGCCAGUUGGGACCUGGGCCAGGCAGAUGGCAGGUUGAAAUGGCUGAUGACAUCACUGGUUCCCGGGAGCGGUAGAGCUGGAGCCGGAGCCAAGGGAGUCCAGGCUGCCGGGGGCUGCAGACAUGGAGGGCCAGAGCAGCAGGGGCAGCAGGAGGCCAGGGACCCGGGCUGGCCUGGGUUCCCUGCCCAUGCCCCAGGGUGUUGCCCAAACUGGGGCACCCUCCAAGGUAGGGGAGAAAGUGGAGGAUGUAAGAGGGCACAACCUGGGCACAGAGAGAUGUGACACCAGGAUCAACUUAGAAUCCUGGACUUGCUCUGAAUGCUAGAUUCACACUUGACAGAGAAACUGAGGCGCUGGGCAGAGAGGUACUUGCCUAAGGUCACACAGAGCUGGGCUUUGAAUCUACACAGCCAGUCUCAGCUCCCAGCUCUUGCUCCUGAGUGGAGCUCUGGGAAUGGGUGGACUCAAGUUUUCAGCUCCCAGCAAAGAAGAACG
rnacentral:lncRNA from 10 species